UCCAAUUUUGAGGUCUUGGAAGAAGCUGC
rnacentral:piRNA from 1 species